rnacentral:rRNA from 1 species
AUUGAACGCUGGCGGCAGGCCUAACACAUGCAAGUCGAACGGUAACAGGAAACAGCUUGCUGUUUCGCUGACGAGUGGCGGACGGGUGAGUAAUGUCUGGGAAACUGCCUGAUGGAGGGGGAUAACUACUGGAAACGGUAGCUAAUACCGCAUAACGUCGCAAGACCAAAGAGGGGGACCUUCGGGCCUCUUGCCAUCGGAUGUGCCCAGAUGGGAUUAGCUAGUAGGUGGGGUAACGGCUCACCUAGGCGACGAUCCCUAGCUGGUCUGGGAGGAUGACCAGCCACACUGGAAAUGAGACACGGUCCAGACUCCUACGGGAGGCAGCAGUGGGGAAUAUUGCACAAUGGGCGCAAGCCUGAUGCAGCCAUGCCGCGUGUAUGAAGAAGGCCUUCGGGUUGUAAAGUACUUUCAGCGGGAAGGAAGGGAGUAAAGUCAAUACCUUUGCUUAUUGACGUUACCCGCAGAAGAAGCACCGGCUAACUCCGUGCCAGCCGCCGCCGUAA